GGAAGUAAAAGUCGUAACAAGGCAUAUCAGUAAGCGGAGGACUGGAAGUAAAAGUCGUAACAAGGCAUAUCAAUAAGCGGAGGACUGGAAGUAAAAGUCGUAACAAGGCAUAUCAAUAAGCGGAGGACUGGAAGUAAAAGUCGUAACAAGGUUUCCGUAGGUGAACCUGCGGAAGGAUCAUUA
rnacentral:rRNA from 1 species